rnacentral:rRNA from 1 species
AGUGAACGCUGGCGGUAGGCCUAACACAUGCAAGUCGAACGGCAGCACAGUAAGAGCUUGCUCUUACGGGUGGCGAGUGGCGGACGGGUGAGGAAUACAUCGGAAUCUACUUUUUCGUGGGGGAUAACGUAGGGAAACUUACGCUAAUACCGCAUACGACCUACGGGUGAAAGCAGGGGAUCUUCGGACCUUGCGCGAUUGAAUGGGCCGAUGUCGGAUUAGCUAGUUGGCGGGGUAAAGGCCCACCAAGGCGACGAUCCGUAGCUGGUCUGAGAGGAUGAUCAGCCACACUGGAGCUGAGACACGGUCCAGCCUCCUACGGGAGGCAGCAGUGGGGAAUAUUGGACAAUGGGCGCAAGCCUGAUCCAGCCAUACCGCGUGGGUGAAGAAGGCCUUCGGGUUGUAAAGCCCUUUUGUUGGGAAAGAAAAGCAGCAGGUUAAUACCCCGCUGUUCUGACGGUACCCAAAGAAUAAGCACCGGCUAACUUCGU